UGCCCCCUGGCCCAGUUGGUGAAGGCGCACGACUGUUAUUUAGAGCUCGGUAAUCUGCUUUGCGACAUCGUGAGAUCGAGAGUUCGAGCCUCUCGGGGGCAG